GGGUUGUGAGGUUAAGCGACUAAGCGUACACGGUGGAUGCCCUGGCAGUCAGAGGCGAUGAAGGGCGUGCUAAUCUGCGAUAAGCGCCGGUAAGGUGAUAUGAACCGUUAUAACCGGCGAUACCCGAAUGGGGAAACCCAGUGUGACUCGUCACACUAUCAUUAACUGAAUCCAUAGGUUAAUGAGGCGAACCGGGGGAACUGAAACAUCUAAGUACCCCGAGGAAAAGAAAUCAACCGAGAUUCCCCCAGUAGCGGCGAGCGAACGGGGAGGAGCCCAGAGCCUGAAUCAGCAUGUGUGUUAGUGGAAGCGUCUGGAAAGGCGCGCGAUACAGGGUGACAGCCCCGUACACAAAAGCGCAUGUGCUGUGAGCUCGAUGAGUAGGGCGGGACACGUGGUAUCCUGUCUGAAUAUGGGGGGACCAUCCUCCAAGGCUAAAUACUCCUGACUGACCGAUAGUGAACCAGUACCGUGAGGGAAAGGCGAAAAGAACCCCGGCGAGGGGAGUGAAAAAGAACCUGAAACCGUGUACGUACAAGCAGUGGGAGCACCCUUUGGGUGUGACUGCGUACCUUUUGUAUAAUGGGUCAGCGACUUAUAUUCUGUAGCAAGGUUAACCGAAUAGGGGAGCCGGAGGGAAACCGAGUCUUAACCGGGCGUUAAGUUGCAGGGUAUAGACCCGAAACCCGGUGAUCUAGCCAUGGGCAGGUUGAAGGUUGGGUAACACUAACUGGAGGACCGAACCGACUAAUGUUGAAAAAUUAGCGGAUGACCUGUGGCUGGGGGUGAAAGGCCAAUCAAACCGGGAGAUAGCUGGUUCUCCCCGAAAGCUAUUUAGGUAGCGCCUCGUGAAUUCAUCUCCGGGGGUAGAGCACUGUUUCGGCUAGGGGGCCAUCCCGGCUUACCAACCCGAUGCAAACUGCGAAUACCGGAGAAUGUUAUCACGGGAGACACACGGCGGGUGCUAACGUCCGUCGUGAAGAGGGAAACAACCCAGACCGCCAGCUAAGGUCCCAAAGUCAUGGUUAAGUGGGAAACGAUGUGGGAAGGCCCAGACAGCCAGGAUGUUGGCUUAGAAGCAGCCAUCAUUUAAAGAAAGCGUAAUAGCUCACUGGUCGAGUCGGCCUGCGCGGAAGAUGUAACGGGGCUAAACCAUGCACCGAAGCUGCGGCAGCGACACUGUGUGUUGUUGGGUAGGGGAGCGUUC
rnacentral:rRNA from 1 species